CCUUCGAUAGCUCAGUUGGUAGAGCGGUGGACUGUAGUGUUUGAAUUCGAUAAUAGAUAUCCAUAGGUCGCUGGUUCAAAUCCGGCUCGAAGGA
rnacentral:tRNA from 1 species